GACGAACGCUGGCGGCGUGCUUAACACAUGCAAGUCGAACGGUGACCUCGAGAGCUUGCUCUCGGGCGAUCAGUGGCGAACGGGUGAGUAACACGUGAGUAACCUGCCCCAGACUCUGGAAUAACCCCGGGAAACCGGAGCUAAUACCGGAUACGAGACGGAGUCGCAUGGCUACCGUCUGGAAAGUUUUUCGGUCUGGGAUGGACUCGGGGCCUAUCAGCUCGGUGGUGCGGUAACGGCUCACCAAGGCGACGACGGGUAGCCGGCCUGAGAGGGCGACCGGCCACACUUGGACUGAGACACGGCCCAGACUCCUACGGGAGGCAGCAGUGGGGAAUAUUGCACAAUGAGCGAAAGCCUGAUGCAGCGACGCCGCGUGAGGGAUGAUGGCCUUCGGGUUGUAAACCUCUUUCAGCAGGUAAGAAGCGAAAGUGACGGUACCUGCAGAAGAAGCACCGGCUAACUACGUGCCAGCAGCCGCAGUAAAAC
rnacentral:rRNA from 1 species